rnacentral:rRNA from 1 species
AUGUCAGUUUCAGAUACGAACCUUCAUAAUGGAGAAAAGCCCAUCUCCGAAAUUACCGAUGCGGAACACGCCGAAAAGCAUGGUCAUAUGAAGUUAGUAUGCUCACAGACAAGGUUCGGAAAAACCAUGAAACUGUUGUCACAAGACCACAAAAAGUACAUCAUAUCAGAAACCAGUCUUGGCGGUCUAACCCAGAUGCAUGAAGUGACUCUAUGGCGCAUAAUGUUGGUUAGACUAGCCAAGAGCAUAGAUAUGGACACGCAAUCCAUUACCAUCGGUAAAACGCCAAUUCCUAUAACAAAAGAGGACGUGCAAGGUAUAUUUGGCAUUCCGAUAGAAGGGGAGGAUAUAGAGCCACAUCUGGAAAUGCAAACCGACACAGAAUUGUUUACCACCUAUGCAAACAAUGGGCAAAUUUUGAUUUCUGACCUUGAAACGGCGAUCCGAGAUUCCAAAGCCCCAGACGGCAAUUUCCUGAGACGGUUCAUUCUGUACGCAAUGGGUACUGUUCUAGCACCAACAGCACAACAUUAUGUGGACUCGAAAUUUCUCAACCUUGUUACAGAUCUUGAAAACCUUCGGAAAUUUAACUGGGGAUGUUUCACACUUAAUCACUUCUUCAAGUCCGUUCACAAGUUUAGAAAUCGAGAUCACGCAAAUCUACAAGGAAAUCUAAUUCUGCUCCAGUAUUGGUACUGGGAGCACAUGCGUAGUGGCCGAUUAAUGUAUGCUUCUAGACCCCCUCCAUUGAUCGCACGAUGGGACGAAAUGAUGGCUACUUUAAGAAGCGAUGCUUACGAGAAAUGA